UGACUACUAUUAGCUCAAGUAUGCUAGAAACCAAUCAAAAAGUCCCUAUGUGAAUGUAUUCCAAUGACUAUGAAAAUUUGAUUAUUUUGAAACUGAUAUUAAUAUGCCAAAUUUAGAAGGAAAUUACAUCAUGCUAUAUCUCAUUAUUAAUUACGAAUACUAACAUCUUGUCAGGAAAAUGUUUUUCAUUAAACAUACUGGUUUUCUUGGCCUUUCGGGGAAGAGUGCAGACGCAAUUGAUUUUUAUACGUCUGAGAUCGAGAGACUAUCAAAAGAAAUCUCAAAAUCAACCAGCGAAGAUGUUGAGCAUCCUGCUGCAAAGGUGGAAGAAUAAAGCAUCCAUUUGGCUGAGCUUCAAGAUCGAGAAGUUGGAAAUGGGACAACUUUUGUGGUUAUUAUAUCAGUCAAGUGAUCCAGCAAAUAAUAAUGCAUGGAAAGAUAAAGGCACUGGUUAGCUUUUUAUCAAAUGUAAAUAGGGUGUUAACAAGGGCACAACAGAAUUCAAGCCAACAAUUCUUGUUCGAAAUGAUGAGGAUUUUUUUUACCAAGAAUGCCAACCCCUUGGAACAUAUAUUUAAAAUUUUCUUCGGCCCAAAAAAUGUCGAUGACUAGAGAAAGAAAACUGUUGAGGUUUGAUUUUCUGCUUGGGAAGUCUCAGAGGCAGCAAAAAGUAUUUCUGAGUAAAUUGGAUUAUAACAAGAAUUAUUUUAUUCUAAUCCAACACUUUUUUUUUUUUAGCCUAGUUGAACGACUCUGAAGAACAUUAAGAGUUUCAAGCACAAAAAAUGACAAAAAAAAAAAAAAUAAAUAGAAAUUCACUUGGAUUUGGCUUGUACAACGUAGUCAGAUUUUUGGAAAGAUCCUAAAUCAUAAUGAUGCACUAUUUAUAAAUGUCAUUGAAAACUAUUUACGAUGGUAAUAAGAUGGUCGCUAAUACAUUGUAGGGUGUAUUUUUUUUUUUUUUCCUUUGCGACGGCAAAACAUCAGUUGCCAUAAAGUAGGUUAGGUGGUCGCAAAUAGUUUGCGAUUGCUGUUUUGCGGUCGCAAAAAGCAUUUGCGACCCCUACAUUUGCGACCCCCAUAUGCCGUCACUUGGGUCAUCGCAAAAAGUCUUUUGCGACUGUAUUUUUAUUAUUUGCGUCUGUUUGUAACGGUCGCAAAAAGUAUUUUUUUUAGUAGUGUUUUAUGUUUAAGAUCAAGAUUGGAUCGUUUAAUCUGGUCAAUGGACAUAUUUUUGGGUCUCAU